rnacentral:rRNA from 1 species
UACGUAGGGUGCGAGCGUUGUCCGGAAUCAUUGGGCGUAAAGCGUGCGUAGGCGGCCCUGUAAGUCCGUUGUGAAAGUCAAAGGCUCAACCUUUGAAAGCCGAUGGAUACUGCAGGGCUAGAGUCCGGAAGAGGCGAGUGGAAUUCCUGGUGUAGCGGUGGAAUGCGCAGAUAUCAGGAGGAACACCAAUAGCGAAGGCAGCUCGCUGGGACGGUACUGACGCUAAGGCGCGAAAGCGUGGGGAGCGAACAGG